rnacentral:rRNA from 1 species
GGCGCACGGGUGAGUAACGCGUGGGAAUCUGCCCAGCAGUGGGGGAUAACCUCUGGAAACGGAGGCUAAUACCGCAUACGCCCCUCGGGGGAAAGGCUUGCUGCUGCUGGAGGAGCCCGCGUCGGAUUAGGUAGUUGGUAGGGUAACGGCCUACCAAGGCGACGAUCAGUAGGGGGCGUGAGAGCGUGACCCCCCACACGGGUACUGAGACACGGACCCGACUCCUACGGGAGGCAGCAGUAAGGAAUAUUGGGCAAUGGAGGCAACUCUGACCCAGCCAUCCCGCGUGAAGGAUUAAGGCCCUAUGGGUUGUAAACUUCUUUUGCUUGGGAAGAAAUCAGGACAUUUAUGUGCUGUUGACGGUACCUUGCGAAUAAGCACCGGCUAACUCCGUGCCAGCAGCCGCGGUAAUACGGAGGGUGCAAGCGUUAUCCGGAAUCACUGGGUUUAAAGGGUGCGUAGGCGGUUCGAUAAGUCAGAGGUGAAAGCUAGCAGCUUAACUGUUAAAUUGCCUUUGAUACUGUUGGACUUGAAUCAGGUUGAGGUAGGCGGAAUGUGACAUGUAGCGGUGAAAUGCAUAGAUAUGUCAUAGAACACCAAUUGCGUAGGCAGCUUGCUGGGCUUGAAUUGACGCUGAGGCACGAAAGCGUGGGGAUCAAACAGGAUUAGAUACCCUGGUAGUCCAC